AAGAGGUUUUAAGCCAAGGCAGAGCAGUCAGAGGGGCUGAGGCACAGGCCGUGGCCAUGACAUUGAGGUUUCCCUAUAGGGCUCUGUGGGGCUGUUGGCCGUAUGGGCUGAGGGAUCUGUGCUGAUAAAGCAAAUGGAGGAAGGAGGAAAAGUAUUUGCAAUCUAACUUAGAAAACCUGCAAACCUGCCAGCCAAGAAGUAGUGCCAUGCUUCUGUCAGCUGUGCUGAACAGUGGAGGCAGGGGACCCAUGUGGGAAAGCCACAGAGCAGGCAGCCAUGUCUGCACCUCACUGCCCUCCGUGCCUGUUCAAGGCAGAGGUGGCGGCACUUCCUGAGGUGCUUUUUGACACGGGUUUUAAUAAUUCAUUUCAUGUUAGCUUCCUGCUAUCAUGAGGGGGAGGAGGAACUGUUGGAGGGCUGUGUUAGAGCGGCUCAUCGGUAUGGAAAUCACAUACUCCCAGUCAUAUGUUGCAGAAGUGAGCCUGUGCAGAGGUGGGAGCGCUGUGACUCAGCGCAGGCAGCAGCGGUGGCAGAGGAGGGGACCUGCCAUGGCCUCCAUCCCCCACCACCACCUUCCACUCGGUCACCUCACCUACUGCCCUCUCUCCUGCCUCCCUCUUUGAGGUCCAGGUGGAGUGCCUGCCAUUUUUAUCAGGGGACCGGCGAUGAGAUAUCUCUAGCCACAGGGCUGUGGGGUCUCAGACAAGGGCUGGUGGGCAGGGUAGUGCGAUUUGUACCCCCAUGCAUUUAACUGUAAUGGCAAUACAGUAAUUCAAGAAGGACUUCUUUUUCUGCUGCCCUUCACAUUAUGAGGUAAAAUGAAGCAUGCAUGUGUGCCCAAUACCUGCUUAAGGUGAGGAUUAGUAAUACAUUUCAUUAUUAAUAAUAAAUAAUUAUAUCCAAAAUUAGGUAGGCUUGUGUCUGUCUUAAGUAAAACACCAUUAGGCUUGUACUAGGUCAAUGGGUAGCUGCAUAAAAUUAUUUUAGUGCCCUAGUCUUUCUCCUUUCUCUGAAACCAUUGCCCAGAGAUAGUUUCUGAAGCAAGAAAUGACUGUGUCUGAGUUGUUCAGUUAUGAUAUGGUCCUACAUGGUGGGGCUGAAGACAGUUUAAGUUGAAAUGGAUUUUAAUGUUUGUAAUGCAUUUCAUUACACUAUGCCUCAAAAAUCCUUUGAGGUGGGCAAGUUACCCACAUCUGUUGAGUGGUGAGGCACUGGCAAAGGUUACCCAAAUAAUCUGUGGAUGCCCCAUCCCUGGAGGCGUUCAAGGUCAGGUUCUGGGGUUCUGGGCAGCCUUAUCUAGUGAGAGGCAACACUGUCCAUGGUAGGGGAGCUGGAAUUAGAUGAUCUUUAAGGUCUCUUCCAAUCUAAGCCAUUCUAUGAUCUAGAUGUUGAAACAUGCAAGAUUAAUGUUGUGUCUUACAUGUAUAAAAAAAAAUAUGGAUUUGUGGUAUAAAGUACUUUUUUUUUUUUUUUUUUGCCAGAAGAGUUUGUCUUCUGCAUGUGAAUCUUGUCUCAAAAAUGGUAUCUGCAGUAGCAGGCCAUCAGUUCAGAAGUGUAAGGCAGCUAAACACAGAAACAAGCUAAAGAAAAUUUGAAACAUUCCUGGCCAGAAAGAAAAGGAUUUCACCCAAAUGAAGAAAGCUACAUUUGAAAAAUUGUUCUAAAAGGCUGCUCAGAGGGGGGCCACUUAAAGACUUCUAGCUGUAGGGAUACUAACCUGACUGCAGGGAUAACUGGAUGGGAUUACAUCAGCUGCCUUGGUUAGGAGACAACAUUAACCUUGGCUUUUAAAGAUUUUGUGAUUCCUGAGCACAUUAGACAAGCCUGCAGCCUUAGAUGUCAACUGGACUUCCUGAAGAGUAUAAAGUUGAGGUUCAUUGUGCUACAUGCUCAUCUUGCUAGCAGUGGACAUCACAGCUGUGUAUGUGGAGUGAGCCCUUAUUUACCUGGAUGACACAGUAAGGAAGACUUUGGGGCUUCUUCCAGCAGAGGCAGAGAUAGGUACCGAGCAAGAGCCAAGGUCUGGGCAGAUCUGAGCUGGGAUCUGA
ensembl:lncRNA